GACGAACGCUGGCGGCGUGCUUAACACAUGCAAGUCGAACGAUGAAUCGCCUUCCUUUUUGGUAGGUGUGGAUGAGGGGCGAACGGGUGAGUAACACGUGAGUAACAUUCCCCGUUCUUCUUGCUAACAGCAGGAAAGGGCGGCUAACACGGGAUAUUUUGCCUCUGUCGCAUGAUGGGUUGGGGAAAGUUAUUGUUUCGGUGGGAGAUGGGCUCGCGGCCUAUCAGGUGGUUGGUGGGGUGAUGGCUUACCAAGGCGGGGACGGGUAGCCGGCCUGGGAGCGUGGACGAUCACGCUUGGGCUGAGAAACCGCCACGCCUGCUACGGGAGGCAGCAGUGGCGACUACUGCACGAUGCAGGCGAGCCUGAUGCACCGUCGCCGCGUGCGGGAUGGAGGCCUUCGGGUUGUGAACCUCUUUCGCCAGUGAAGUAAGCCUGCCUCGUUUGUGAUUAGGUUGACGGUAGCUGGAUAAGAAGCUCCGGCUAACUACGUG
rnacentral:rRNA from 1 species